ensembl:lncRNA
GUUUGCUGUGGUGUCUGAGCUUGUGAACCGCUACCUCUCCUGUGUGGUUUCCUCGUUCUCCUGCGGUAGGUUGUCGUCGCAUCUAGGUAGUUGCGUUGAAUUUUAAAGAUUACACUUUGGACUUACUUCGUCCUUUAUUGUAGACUGGGGUUGUGGUCCUCUCCUCCACAGCGUGGUUGCUGUCACACUGGUCACCUGCCGUGUGUGUGCUUAUUCUCACAAAGUUGGUGUGAACCCUAGAGUAUACCUCCCAGUUAGCAAGCCUGCCAUAGCUUUUGUUUUCAUUAAUUUAGCGUCAUUCCCUCCCCUAGUGUGUUUGUCCAUAGUCAUUUAACAGUGCUGUCUGUUUGGGCGUUGAUCUUUAAAAAGUAAACUCAUGGUGAUUUAACCUUUUCUGCUUUUGGACUAACCCGUCUCCAGUCUUUCGAGGUCCACCUCUUCCUGGACAUGCAUACUGGUCAUCCUUAAGUUAUUUUUCUGUGGUGUUUCUGUGUGGUGUGUUUUAACCUGUUGCAAAGGCUGGUGUGCCUAAUUGAACAUUAGUUUAACAGUCUGUGGGUGAAAUUCCCCCGGUGGAGUGGUCUGGCUACUUAUAGCCUACAGGGCUACGCUUUCUUGCCUUCUGUGAGGCACACGGUGAUGACAUACAAGUGCAGACAGCGUUUACUUGUAUUUAAUCUUGACUGUUUUGUCCCUAAGUGAUUUGUUAAUUUUGCCUUUUUUUACGGUUAGCAUGGUCCUUGACGUAAGGUGGCUAGCGGGCUGAUGUUAGCUUCCCUUUAGCGCCCUGUGAUUGAAAUUGUAGUUCGGAUGGUUUGGGAUUGCGAUGUUGGUACAUCAAAAUGAACGAAUGCAGUACGUGAUGCCCAUAGGAAUUAAACUGGGACAUAAUUAUUUGUUUUCCCCCUGCCGUCUGUUAAUGAAAUUCCUCGAUGUGGCUCGAGUGCGAAUAACACUCGAUGAUGAAACUUCACAGACCUGUACUGAAUGGUAGUGAUUGCACCUUUUUAUUUUCUGAUGAGAUUAUUCAGAGCCGUACGACGAGUGUGUUGUAGGCCUACUGUUUUCACCACAGUAUCCCACGUAACGUCUUUUGAUAUUCGUGCAUCUUGGC